CCUGCUGCUGCCAAGGCACAGCUUGGUUCUGGCAUUUCCUGUGGUUAUUAGGAGUGUCUGAAGCUGUUUUGUGGCAGGUGGGGAUCUGUGAUAGUUUCCAAGAGGAAAUGUGACUUCAGACUUACACUUAGCAAAUUAACUUUGCUCUCUUUUAUUGUCUCAAAAUGCUUUCUGCUCUCUUCUGUCCUGUUCCUUAACUAUUUAAUUAAUCUCUGGCAUUUAUGUCUCCUCUCAACAUUAUGGCAAAGCCUUUUACAGAGAUUAUCACAGCUCUCUUACACCAUCUUGUACUGUAUCUAGUUGAGCUUUGCCUUCUUAAGGAAGCAGAUGUGACAUUUGGCAAGUGCAUCAUUCCUUUGGGUUUGUGUUCCCUGUCACCAGAGGAUGCUGAGCCAAUUACAGUAUUUGCUGCAGGUGUAAAGGCAAAAAUAUUUCUAGAAAAGAUUAAUGCAGAUGGCCAUUCUCUUCUAGAAAGCAUUGGCUGGAUGCUGACAGGCUGGGUGUUUCAAUAAAGCAGCAUUUAUCUGCUUUAUUUAAGCAGAAUCCUCUGGUGGUCUGGGCAAUUUAGACACUUCUCAGACAGAAGUAGGGACCAAACAGCCACAGAGUUGGGGAAGGGUCUGGCAGCACCACAGAUAAGUAGGAAAAUCACAAAAAAGUGUGUGUUUCCCCACAGUCUUUGCCAUGCUUCUGUGUAUCUGAUUCCAUGCUGAAUGAAACCAGAGGCAUCUCCUUUCUCAUUCUGCUCAUAUCUUGUUACAAAUACAACCCACAGACUUUAAAAUAGGCAGCCGUGGAAAAUCCUGCCUCUGAACAUGAUGUGUGUCAGACAGGAAUCACAACCAGGGAGAAGAUGGGUGCUGAGGGAGAAUGGGGACAUUAUUUCUAUUCCAACAACCAUUUGGCUACUGAAACCUGCUUUUUAGACAGCAGAGGUAGAAAAUCCUUUCAAGAGUUAAGGGUGUAUUAGCACUGUUCCUGAUGUAUGUAAAUGUGGUAUUUAGCAGUGGUAUGGGUGGGAGAGAAGAGACAAAAGAUGAGUCUGGGACCCUCCAUGUAUUGAGGGUAAUAAUUUGGGAUGUUUUCUCAUGAAUUUAAACAGAGGAAUUGCAGCGAAGUACACACAUAAUGUUUCCUCCCUGUUCCCAGCAGCCCCAGAGAGGCAAAAAUCCAGGGUGGCACAAGAAAGGACGUAGCUGUGGGAAUCCCUGAACUCACUGCUGCUCCUGCUUGCAAUCUGCCUGCCCUCCCCACCUCAUUUUUGGGAGUAGGUAAGGAGACCAUGCCAAGCAGAAUUGGAGCAUUUAGGAGCAGUGCUUUGGGCUUUUUGCCUACCACAGGAGCAACUGUGUUGGACCACAUGAGAUCCAUGAAGUUGGACCUGGUGAUUUGGAGGUCUCUUCCAACCUCAGUGAUUCCGUGAUACGAAGGAGCAAUCAAUGUCCCUGUGUGUGGGAUGGACAGGAUCCCUGCAGGAUCCAGGGGCAGGGAAGGAACCUUGUUGGGAAUCUCAUCCUGCUGGGAAAUCCUCCUCUUUUUUUUUCUGUUAUUUGCAUACUUCAUGUCACUCAUCAUCACCUGCACACAGUGCAGAGGAGACACAAAGAACCCAAAGGUUUUGGCACUUGGCUCCUUGUCUGCUCCUGCCAGCAGCCUUUUCCAAGGAUUAUGUUGUAGGACUCCAGUUUUUGCCUUUCUGCUUUUGGUGCUCCACAAGUCAAGAGCUCCAACACACUCCCUGAGUCUGGCUUUCAGCACCACUCUGAGAUUUCAGAUCACAUUGGGCACAUUACACAAAUCUGUUCAUUAUGGAAUCUGACAGAUUUUAUUUUCAUGGUGAGUGUUUUCACAAGGAACACCCCAAAAUCCAGGCUCAGCAUGUGACACCUGAGCAGUAUGUACACUCCCUUUCCCACAGUAACCUGUUAAUGUGCUUCAUGUGCAAUUCAGGUUACUCAUAAAUAAUUCUCUUUGCAAAUCAGACACAUAUAAAUUAUUCUCUGUAAUUGAAAAUUACCUAUGAAUUAUUCUGUUUGUAAUUCAUAUAUAUGUCAUUUAUUCUCUAAUAUAUUGACAUUGCUUUCUUGGAUAGAAAUGCCUGGGGCUGACAGUAACAGGGUGAUUCUCAAAGGCCAAGGCAAUACCAUACAGUGUGUGUUUAUUUGGGAUAUUCUGACAAGACAGGGAUGGUCUUCUGGGAAGAAAGUCCAUGUACAGGUUCAGAAAGGGCACUCAGUGCAUUAUGGAGUUAUUUGGUAUUGUAUAGAAUUUGACCCUAACAUCGCAGAGAUUGUAUUUUUUUUUAAGUUGGUAAUUCUAAAGUUAUUUAUUUUAUAAGCCAAUUUGUAAGUCAUUUCUAGCUCUGACUCUCCCAUAGGCACUACAGAUCCCUUCCCCUCUCAACUCUUGUGAAGUAUUUGGAGGCAAACUGACUUAACCCAGCUCUUUGUAUGUCAGAGGGACAUUAGCAGGGUCUCUUAACACUGAUUAAUUACCUUUGUUAGGUGCUGUACAGUAAACAAGCAGUGAUACCGCAGGAAAUUCAUCGUCAGUCAACAGAAAUGAAAAGUCCGGAGCAAACAUAACGAGUAAUAACUAAUUACAGCACAUGCUCCAGUUACUUAAUAGCUCUUUCCCUGAGAUUUGCACUUGGUGUCUGCUACUGCUGCUCCAGGAUCAGCCUCUCCUUCUCAGUAUUACACCAAUGACAGCCUGAAAGCAAUUUUCUCAAUUUAUUUGUUUACAUACAUAGAAAGAGAUUUUUCUUGACUGAGAAGCUCUGUUCCAAAUAAAAUUCUCACUGGUCCAGCUCCUUCCUCAGGGAGCUCAACACAGUCCCUCACACAAACCCAGGCUUUGCCUGCCAAGUAGGCUCAGCUCCUAGGGUCACACCAAAUCUCUUUGGCCAGGCUCAGACCUGGUUUUGAGAUACUCAGCAGUUUUCAGAAUCAAUCCCCUCUUCUCACAGAGAAAAUCCACUCUGGACCUGCUCUGCCCUCUACUUGCACCCCCGUGGAGCUCUGGCAUCCUCUGUCCACUUGGCAUUAAGUGGCCACAAAGCACUGAGUCAGAUCUCUGUGUGUUCCAGCCCAGAAACUCAGAUAAAGCCUUCUGGCCUCACAUCCUGCCAGAUCCCAAUAAUAUUUGUGUGUAAUGUCUCUAGAAUAUGUCUGUGGCUCAGAAACAGAUGGUCUUGGGAAGAGUCAUUCCUGGUGCUGUGGAAACCUUCAGGGAUUCACAUUUACCAGGAGGAUCCUGCAUUUUCCAGGAGGAGAAUGUGCCUGUCCUAUUGGAGCUGUGAUUGAUGUGUUACUGCUGCAAGACUCGGUGCUGCAAGUUUGUCCCCCCAGGAAUCUGCCUCAUUAAUUGACUUGGACUGCUGGACAAGGUAGAUGGACAACUCAACAAUAUGCAAAAAAGGUUUGCAAGGUGAAAGACAAGAUUUGUAAAGGUCAUUAAAUACCUAAGAUGGA